rnacentral:lncRNA from 1 species
ACCGCGCCCUCCGCUCGCCACUGCGAGGCCACCUGCUGCGCCGCCCGCCGCUUCCGGCUCCCAGGCCGCCCGGAGGCUGCGCCCACCGCUGCCCGCACUCCUCACCUGGCGGCGGCCCUCUCCGCCGGACGCGCUGCCGCCGCCGCCUCUCGCCGCCGCUGAGAGUGAGGACAGGCUAGGCCUACCCAUCUGUGGAUGGUAAUGCCCACAGUGGACUGGGCUCUACUGUAUCAAUUUGCAAUCAAGAAAAUGUCGCAUGGAUAUGCCUACAGGCCAGUCUGAUGGAGACAGUUCUUCAACUGAAGUUCCUUUUUCCAAGGUGACAGUUCCAGUUGCUCCAUUUUCUUUGCACUUGAUGUUGUCUUUCAGGUGUUCUCAUCCCACUUUGAUAUCCUAUAUGGCAGGCUCUCUCCUAUGCUGCUUAACUUCCAAACUGAUAUUCUAGCUGAAUAUGACCAACACAUGUUCUUGGAGUCUUUGAAGGUCCUCCAAAGAUUCCAGAAGUAACUCCAGCCUGCCAUCUGCUAGGUUUAUCAAUCUGCAACUCCCUUUAAUCCUCAUUACUUUGAACCAGGUGACAAUGUUUGGAUUAAUAGACAUACACACAAGACUCUGGAACUCUGCUGGAAAGAACCUCAUACGAUGAUCCUGACCAUGUAAAUGGCUGUAUAGGUGGAUGGGAUCUGGACGUGGAUACACUACUCCCAUGUUAAGCCUGACAGAAGAGAGACAACACAGCAGUGGAGAUCUGGCAGGGAGAGACUUCCAGAUGUUCCACCAAGAGCAAUGGAAGCAUACCCACAUCUUGUUGAUCCAAUAGGGCUGCAACUUUGGCACUCCUGAUCAUGCAUGCCUGCUGCACCCUUCACCAACCCUUCAGUCUAACCUGGAUGCUUAUAGAUGUUGGAAGAGGUGAAAUACUUCACCAAGUCUCCAAACAAGUGCUAGAAAGGAUCUUGAGCUAUGGUUGGAUGAUUUCUCUGGGUUUGAGGUCUUGGAAUUGUACCAUUGGACCAAAAAUGGCCAAUUCUAUGUUUGCCCAGGCCACUGCUGCAUCAAGGCUCAGAGAGAUAAGUGUGGAGGGUCCUCUGAUUACUUUUGGGUUGUUUGGGGAUACGAAUUCAUCUGCUAUAUAUGGUGACUUGUGGUGCAUGCAUUAUUAAUACUUUAGUCAGGUUUGUUAAGGAACGGAUUUCCACUGAUGAUUGAGAAUCCAACUGGUGAUUCACAAGCAGCAAUACCAGCCCAUCUUAAGGUUUCAGGUUAGGCCAUUAUUCAAGGAGGGAAUGAGCGCCAAGCUGACUCCAUGAGAGGCUGCAAGAUGCCAGUUCAGGAGACUAGGCCUAAGUUUCUGUUUCCCAGAACUGAGCAGACCAGUUCUUGGAAAAACCACAGCCCAUGAACAGCCAAUCAGAAGCUGCCCUGCCAAGGUUAGUCAGCAAGGGUUCUUGUAAAGUCCCCAGGCCCCCAGUGAUGAGUUUGGAAAGCCCACAGAACUCUAGCCAAUCCCAGAGUUACCCAUACCCCUAGAGUUAGAGCCAACCAUUUGGGUCACCUACCUCUUCUUGGAAUUCCCCCUAAUAACCUUUAAAUUGAGCCUACAGAGCUCACCUUGAGGUUACCAUUUUUAUGAAUUGUAGACCCUUGCAUGCUGGAUUUCUGCAGAAUAAAUGCUCUUUCCUUUUGUAUACCA